GCUUACAGGCCUGAGUACGCCUGAUCUCGUCUGAUCUCGGAAGCUAAGCAGGGUCGGCCUGGUUAGUACUUGGAUGGGAGACCGCCUGGGAAUACCAGGUGCUGUAAGCU
rnacentral:rRNA from 1 species